UACGAAGGGGGCUAGCGUUGUUCGGAAUUACUGGGCGUAAAGCGCACGUAGGCGGAUUGUUAAGUCAGGGGUGAAAUCCCGGGGCUCAACCCCGGAACUGCCUUUGAUACUGGCAUUCUCGAGUCCGGAAGAGGUGAGUGGAAUUCCGAGUGUAGAGGUGAAAUUCGUAGAUAUUCGGAGGAACACCAGUGGCGAAGGCGGCUUACUGGUCCGGUUCUGGACGCUGAGGCGGCGAAAAGCGUGGGGGA
rnacentral:rRNA from 1 species